GUGCAGCAGUCGAGAAUCCUUCGCAAUGCGGGAAACCGCGACGAGGGGACUCCCAGUGCCUACGCUCAGCGUAGGCUGUUCCCGAGCCUAGAAGGCUCGGGGAGUAAGGGCUGGGUAAGACGGGUGCCAGCCGCCGCGGUAAUACCCGCAGCCCGAGUGGUGGCCACUAUUAUUGGGCCUAAAGCGUCCGUAGCCGGCCCGGUAAAUGCCUGGGUAAAUCGUGAGGCCUAACCUCACGAAUUCCGGGUAGACUGCCGGGCUAGGGACCGGAGGAGGGAGAGGGGUACUCCAGGGGUAGGGGUGAAAUCCUGUAAUCCCUGGAGGACCACCGGUGGCGAAGGCGCUCUCCCAGGACGGGUCCGACGGUGAGGGACGAAAGCCAGGGGAGCGAACCGGAUUAGAUACCCCGGUAGU
rnacentral:rRNA from 1 species